UUUUGGGAAAUGUUUUAUGUAACUUUGUUAAUCUUGUAUUAUCAAAUUUAGUGAAAAGUGUUGUUCAUUAGUUAAUUAAGUAUAAAGGGUAUAGGCAUAAUAAGCAAGGCAUAAUAAGCUAAAUUUGUAGGUGGUUUGAAAGUUUGAGAUUGAAAUACAAUUUUUCAUUGUAAUUUAAGUUUCAGUUUGUCAGUUAAUAUGACCAAACAAGCAAACAAACCGAUUUCCUCUGCAGAACAAAGCCCUAUUUACUGGUCAAAUUUAGUUGGCUAUCUUCAGGACAAGCAAAUAUUCCCCUUAUAUAACUGGUUUUCUCUAACUGCUAUAUUUCAUAAAUAUAUUUAAAUAUACACCUUUUACCUGCAGGUCAACAGGUAUCUUGUGGCUCCUCCUGCUGAUUCCCUUGAGCACAGCCAAUAGAGGUUUCACAAAGUGUAAGGGUGAUCACACGACAUUGUCCUGUCUGGACCCAAAGAAUCAUAUCGAGGGCAAAGUGAAGAUAAAUGCACUUUGGAAAAAAGAUUCUGGUGAAAGAGUGAUCUGGAACUACAACGGAGACCGCAAAAAAGGAGACACUUUCAUGAACAGGACAGUAGAGUUGAAUGAAGAUUUAUCCCUUUACAUUGAUGGAUGUGAUCAGUCAGAUCAAGGCAUAUAUAUUCUCUGUAUUGAUGGGAAACCGAGCUGUGAAGUUACGCUAUUUGUCAGAGACUCAAAACAAUGCAAACCAAAACCAUCCUCAGAACAAUCAAUUAGAAGCACUGCAUCUUCUAUGGCAAAACAAGCUACCAGAGAUGAAAAACACCUGCAAACUGAAACCAGUCUGCCUAAUACUUACAUCAGAUGGGUUAUUUAUGCCUGUUUGUGUUUGGUUGUGCUUGUGGUCUUAUUGCUGUUUAUCCGUGUUAUCCAUGCAUGCAUCCCAAAAGAGGAAACUAGUAAAAAUGACAAGUCAGGAUCUAAACUGCUCCAUAUAUAUAUAUAGAGUAACUAUGCCGGUUCAUGAUUUUAAAUUUAAUGUGGACACAACAGCAUAUCGUAAGGAUGAACAUCAGAACCGAAACGUUAGACUUUUUUUCAGAUUUAUGUCAGGACAUCACAUUUUCAUAAUUCUUCUGACGUCAGCAAAGAAAAGUUAUGCCCCAAUAUGCCUGAGCUACAUUUGCCCACCCUUUUUUUUGAUAUGGUGCAAAUUUUCUUUCCCUUACAGUUUGCGUUUGUAUUGUCUUUGCUUGGGGCCCCCAAGGACCAAUGAUGAAAGCAAAGGCAAUACAACUUCAAACAGUAAGGGAAAGAAAGUUUGCACAAUACCAAACAAAAGGGUGGGCAAAUGUAGUUCAGAAAUGUUACCAAUAUGCAUCCGCUCUUAUAGAGUAGUUGUUAAAAAUAUUGAAACACUAAAUACCUGCAUAUGUUUAACUUCACGAAUAAUAUUGUUUCUAACUUUCAAAGAAUUAUUAGACACUGUUCUAGCUCUAAAUAGCCAAGAUCAUCUGGAAUUAAUCUGGGUGGAGGCAUAUCUUUUUCCAUUUACUGGAAACGUAUGGAAUCAAGCGGUUUCAUUACAUAUUUAUAUUGUGAAAAUUGUAGAUAAUAAUGAGUGGCUGCUAUACAGCUUUUUUUUAAUAAAGAAAAUAUACAUAAAUCAAAUCCUUGAGUCCAUUUCUUUAAUUAUGAGGCUGUUUGUUGAAACUGAAACUGCUGAAUGA
rnacentral:lncRNA from 1 species